rfam:Gossypium raimondii Chr08_contig_161, whole genome shotgun sequence.
UAUUAAAAAUUUCAUCUAUAUCUAUUGCUAAAAACUGUCGUGGUUGACCGAAUAAUCCGACAGAUAUGUCGUGUGUGCUUCAUGUUGACAUACAUAGACCAAUUUUUAACAACAGAAAUGGAUGAAUAUUUCGAUA